GAUGAACGCUGGCGGCGUGCCUAAUACAUGCAAGUCGAACGAACAGACGAGGAGCUUGCUCCUCUGACGUUAGCGGCGGACGGGUGAGUAACACAUGGAUAACCUACCUAUAAGACUGGGAUAACUUCGGGAAACCGGAGCUAAUACCGGAUAAUAUAUUGAACCGCAUGGUUCAAUAGUUAAAGACGGUUUUGCUGUCACUUAUAGAUGGAUCCGCGCCGCAUUAGCUAGUUGGUAAGGUAACGGCUUACCAAGGCGACGAUGCGUAGCCGAUCUGAGAGGGUGAUCAGCCACACUGGAACUGAGACACGGUCCAGACUCCUACGGGAGGCAGCAGUAGGGAAUCUUCGGCAAUGGGCGCAAGCCUGACGGAGCAACGCCGCGUGAGUGAUGAAGGUCUUCGGAUCGUAAAACCCUGUUAUUAGGGAAGAACAACUGUGUAAGUAACUAUGCACGUCUUGACGGUACCUAAUCAGAAAGCCACGGCUAACUACGUG
rnacentral:rRNA from 1 species